AACCUGUGGCGCGCUCCGCGGUUCCGGCGCCUGAAGUUUUAGCUGCGGUGGCGGCGGCAGUCGGGACCGACUGCAAGAUGUCAUUUGUCAGAGUGAACCGCUGUGGUCCCCGAGUUGGUGUAAGAAAGACACCGAAAGUAAAGAAGAAGAAAACUUCAGUGAAACAAGAAUGGGAUGUACGCCGUCAUGAAAUACACAAAUCGAAGAAUAGAGCAUUAGUACACUGGGAACUCCAAGAAAAAGCUUUGAAGAGAAAAUGGAGGAAGCAGAAACCAGAAACUUUAAAUCUUGAGAAAAGAAGAUUGUCUAUCAUGAAGGAGAUUCUUUCUGAUCAAUACCAGAUGCAAGAUGUGUUGGAGAAAUCUGAUCAUCUAAUAGCUGCAGCAAAAGAGCUGUUUCCUCGUAGGCGCACAGGGUUUCCAAAUGUAACAGUGGCUCCUGAUUCCUCUCAGGGUCCCAUUGUGGUAAAUCAAGACCCUAUCACCCAAUCUAUCUUUAAUGAGUCUGUCAUAGAACCUCAGGCUCUUAAUGAUGUAGAUGGUGAAGAAGAAGGAACUGUUAAUAGCCAGUCAGGAGAAAGUGAGAAUGAGAAUGAGUUGGAUAACUCUCUAAACUCUCAGUCUAACACGAAUACAGACAGGUUUCUCCAACAACUAACAGAAGAGAAUUUUGAGUUAAUUAGUAAGUUGUGGACUGACAUUCAGCAGAAAAUAGCAACCCAGUCACAAAUAACUCCUCCAGGAACGCCAUCAUCUGCUCUUUCAUCAGGGGAGCAAAGAGCUGCUCUGAAUGCUACCAAUGCUGUCAAGAGACUCCAAACCAGGCUUCAGCCUGAAGAAUCUACUGAGACUCUAGACUCAAGCUACGUUGUGGGACACGUGCUGAACUCAAGGAAGCAAAAACAGCUGUUAAAUAAAGUGAAAAGGAAACCGAAUUUGCAUGCUCUUUCCAAGCCGAAGAAAAACAUAUCAUCAGGUAGCACAACCUCUGCAGACUUACCAAAUAGGACUAAUUCCAACCUGGAUGUCCUCAAACACAUGAUACAUGAAGUGGAACAUGAAAUGGAAGAAUAUGAGCGGUGGACAGGUCGCGAGGUCAAGGGUCUGCAGAGCAGUCAGGGUCUUACAGGCUUCACUUUGUCGCUGGUGAGCUCCCUCUGUCGCCUGGUUCGGUACCUUAAAGAGAGUGAGAUCCAGCUACGUAAAGAAGUAGAGACAAGGCAACAACUGGAACAAGUAUUAGGUGAUCAUCGAGAGCUCAUUGAUGCUCUGACAGCUGAAAUUCUUCGUCUUAGAGAAGAAAACGCUGCUACACAGGCAAGACUUCAGCAGUACAUGGUCACAACAGAUGAGCAACUGAUAUCACUCACACAUGCUAUUAAGAACUGUCCUGUGAUAAAUAACAGACAAGAAAUUCAGGCAUCAGAAAGCGGAGCCACAGGUAGAAGAGUUAUGGACAGUCCAGAGCGUCCAGUUGUAAAUGCCAAUGUCUCAGUGCCAUUGAUGUUCAGAGAGGAAGUGGCUGAAUUCCCACAGGAAGAGUUGCCCGUUAAACUGUCUCAGGUGCCAGACCCUCCAGAUAACAUGAAUCUGGCCAAGAAUUUUCCAGCACAUAUUUUUGAGCCAGCUGUGUUGUUAACACCACCCAGGCAGAAGAGCAACUUAAAAUUCUCUCCUCUUCAGGACGUAUUGAGAAGGACUGUUCAAACUCGUCCUGCUCCACGACUUCCUCCAACUGUGGAAAUAAUUGAGAAGGAACAAAAUUGGGAAGAGAAGACCUUACCUAUUGAUACAGACAUUCAGAAUUCAAGUGAAGAGAAUCGUCUCUUCACUCAGAGAUGGAGAGUCUCUCACAUGGGAGAAGAUUUGGAGAACAAAACUCAGGCUCCUUUUGUUAACCUCUCACAGCCCCUCUGCAAUUCCCAUUCCAACACUCAACAGUCAAGAAGCCCCACAUUCUCAGAAGAGCUCCCAGUACUGGGAGAUGGGCAGCAGCUGAGAACAAAUGAGUCAUUAAUACAAAGAAAGGACAUAAUGACACGAAUUGCUGAUUUGACAUUGCAGAAUUCAGCUAUCAAGGCACAUAUGAAUAAUAUUAUUGAGCCCAGAGGAGAGCAAGGGGAUGGACUCCGGGAGUUGAACAAACAAGAAAGUGCAAGUGACAUGACUUCUACUUUUCCAGUAGCACAGUCUCUAACACCAGGUAGUAUGGAGGAACGGAUUGCAGAAUUGAAUCGACAAAGUAUGGAGGCUCGUGGAAAACUACUGCAGUUGAUAGAGCAGCAGAAACUUGUUGGUUUGAAUCUUUCUCCACCAAUGUCACCUGUUCAGUUACCUCUCAGAGCAUGGACUGAAGGAGCAAAGAGGACAAUUGAGGUAUCUAUUCCAGGAGCAGAAGCCCCAGAAAGCUCAAAAUGUAGUACUGUCUCUCCCGUCAGCGGGAUAAAUACAAGAAGAUCUUCCGGGGCUACUGGUAAUUCUUGUUCUCCACUAAAUGCCACCUCAGGAAGUGGGAGAUUCACACCUCUUAAUCCAAGAGCAAAGAUUGAGAAACAGAAUGAAGAAGGCUGGUUUGCUCUUUCUACCCAUGUAUCAUAAGUGAAGUCAAGUCUCACUGAGUUUGUUCUUAAUAAUUUAUUACUUCCCUUUCCCUGCUCUGACUUUUAAGUUUUUAUAUCCUUCUUUCAGAUAAAACCUACAAAGAUCCUGUGAAUUAGUACUAAUGAAACAGAGAAAUAAAGCAAUUAUUUUUUGACUUUCUCAAAUAAGUUUUCAACAACCAACUGACCUACAGCUCCCUGUGAAUGAAACUUUGACUGUAGAGAAGUUAAAGUUUUGUAUUUUAAUACUUUCUUAAGUAUUUUAAGGGUUUUUUUUAUUAAUACAUUUUUACCUUUAUCUUUAUUCAGGGUUUUUUGAGGUUUAGUAUAUCUUAGUUGAUCCAUUUAUUUAUUUAUUUUCCUGAAGAACUAAUUUGCUUUGCAUGUAACUUACAAUAAAAUUCCUCUGUGUGAUUAGAGUCUGGCUUUCAGGAAUAUGUAACACCCACUUUUCUUUCUUUUUUCUUGGGAAGUCAUUGCUGUUCAUCACUUUUUCCAUCAAGUGAAAUAUACAGCCUUAAAAACAAUAGGCCUGGGAGUGUUUGUUUAUAUUUGCUUAAGCAGUGUCAUGAGGCGGAGAAGGCCCGACCAAAGGGCGGAUAGGUACCGGGUUCCCGGAGAGCUGGACGCCGGCCGCGCAUGCGCCCCACGGCCCGCCCUGGUUCCGCCUCCCUGGAAGAGGGGUGGCGUUGUCUCGGUAACCGGAGUAAACGGAGGCCUCCGGCAGACGCUGUGAAGAGAGGAGCCGCGGCGGUCAGUACCUUCGAGGAAAUGAAGGAACCAGAUGAUCAGGAUACUGAUGGGGAGAAAUCAGUUACAUCAAAGAGUGAUGGGAAGAAGUCUCUGAGGUCUUCUAAAUCAGAAUCAAGAUCUCCUGUUCAAGAAGAUAACACAUUUUUAGAAGAUGACACAGAUGAAACAUUUACCAAAGGGGAAGGAUCAUAUUUAGAAGAAGACUCAGAUGAGGAACGUUUGGAAGGAAGUUUGAGUUCAUUUCAGUAUGGUGAUUUGCAAAGCACUACAGUACCUCAGCAAACCCCUGCUCCAGCUGUGGAAGAAGCAGAGGAGGAAGUUAAGAAGAAAAUAUCAGAGAGCUUCUUCUAUGAUUAUAUGGAGCUUGCUUCGAUGCCUUUUGUGACUCUGGAUUCAAACAUACCACUGGAUCUUCUCACACUUGUGUAUCCACCCUGGCUAAAUAUGUAUAAUUUUGGGAUUUUCAUUUCUUAGGUCAGAGGUCAGCAAACUAUAGCCCAGGGAGCCCAAAUGUGCCUUCCCACCUGUUUUGGUAAAUCAAGUUUUAUUGCAACACAGCCACAUCCAUUUGCUUACAUUUUGUUUAUUAUGGCUGCCAUCACACAACAAGGACAGGGAUAAGUAGUUGUGACAGAGACCAUCUGGCUCACAAGGCAAAAACUAUUUACUACCUUCCCUUUAUAAAAAAAUGUGUGCCAACCCAUAUUAGGUAAUUCUAAGAAGCUUGAAUUCUUAGAGAUUUGAUAGAAAUGCAUGAUCUUAAUUUAAACUAAGCUUUUGUUUGAUGCCAAAUAACCAUACAGAGAAAUAUUUUUUCUGGCUGUCCUUUGCACAAGUGGAAAGGCUGCAGUUCAUGAGAUCUGAGUGAAGGAAAUCAGAAGGCUUCUUCUUCCCAUUUACUUUUGUCAGUGCCUGUCAAGUUACAUAAUCAAUUUCCCUUCUUGAAACACUUAUGUGUCUGUCCAUUGUAAGGCAUUAGUACUUUCACAUUAUAUAUCAGAUGAGCUAUCAGAGAAGACAAUUCUUAGGAAACAGGGCACAAAAUAUAAAGUUUUAAUUGGUUUGGAGAAUAAGAGUCUUUUAAGAUAUGUAGAAACAGGAUGAUUGACAAGGGGAUUUUGUGUUCGUCAUCACAUUAUGAUGUUAGGUUUGCAAUGCGGGUAGUUAGAAAACAGUUUUCAUUGAGGUCCUUAGCUGGCAAUGUACUGUGCUUCCCUUUUGGAUAGUUAGUACUUAUCACCACGUGGCCUAAACCACCAACUGGCCUCUUACAUAAGGAAUACUUACAGAGAUAGGGUGGUGUACUCCCUGACUCAGUUUUGCUUUUUACAUAAAAACAUAAAAAUAGAACAUGUUGUUAAAUCCCAGGUGUAACUAAAUUAAUUCGUGCUGAUUUAUCUUGUAACCUGGAAUUUUCUCUCUUCAUGGCUUUUUUUUUCCUUAUCUUUGGACAAGUUUCUGACAAAAGUUAUGCUGUUUGCUUUCUUUUAGCCUUUUUUUCCCAAAUGGGAUGGGGUGGUAUAUUAGAGUCCCCUGGAAGUUUUUCCUAAAGUACACAAUGCUCUGAUGCCUUCCGGGACCUACUGUGCUAGUUCUUUGUGGAGAGGGACUUGGGAAUAUGUACUCUGAAGAAACUCCGAGUUGGUUUGGCAGUGCACUGCCUUCUCACUGCUCCAGGAUGGGAGGGUCUGUAUUAGACAAAUAUGCCUAAAUUCUAAACAUCAGAGUCAGAAGAACCUUAACUUUUAUUCCAAUAUAUGAAUUAUCUCUAUUCGUGCUGGAUGGGUGGCUGUAUAAACUAUAGCCUUUUCUUAAACAUUUUCAACACCAGGAAAAUCACAAAGUAGCUUACCCCACUUUUGGACGGCUCACUAGAGAGCUUUUUGGGCCUUGAAUAAAAUUCUGCCUUGCUGGGAUGGCCCCCAUUAGAUUUAGUUCUCCUCUCUGCAGAUGGACAUAUAUAAUCUCUAUAUCUUGUGAGGAAUUCUAGGAAGAACAAGUCAGCCAUCAGGUAUUCCCUAAGUACUCUUUUAAUUAACCCUUUAAUGAUUAUUAGUAUAUUAUAUUGAUUCUACUUCAGUUUUUGCUUUUUUGUUUUGUUCUGUUUUGUUUUGAGAUGGAGUCUUGCUCUGUCGUCCAGGCUGGAGUGCAAUGGCACGAUCUCUGCUUACUGCAACCUCCGCCUGCCGGGUUCAAGCAAUUCUCCUGCCUCAGCCUCCCGAGUAGCUGGGACUAUAGGCAUGCACCACCACAUCCAGCUAAUUUUUGUAUUUUUAGUAGAGAUUGGGUUUCACCAUAAUGGCCAGGCUGGUCUCGAACUCCUGACCUCGUGAUCUGCCCGCCUUGGCCUCCCAAAAUGCUGGGAUUACAGGUGUGAGCCACCGCGCCUAGCCCUCUACUUCAGUUUUUAAAUUUAUGUCUUCUAAAUUUUAGCAAUGUUAAAUCAAGUUUAGCCUAAAGCUGCCUCCUUACAUACUUUAAGUUCAGCCUCCAGGUUUCUCUGUACAUGGUGAACUAUAACCUAAAGGGAGUUAGACUCUAGCCUACUCUUGAGCCAGUUACUGAGUUGUGGUCAAAGGUGGCCAACUGUUCAAACUGUGUUAAAAUAAGGCAGAUGCCAAGCUGUAACCAAUUCGGCUAUUUCUGUACCUCACUUUCGUUUUCUGUAUGUCACUUUCCUUUUUCAGUCCAUAAAUCUUCCUGCACGUGGCUGUGCUGGAGUCUCUGGGCCUACUCUGGCUCAGAAGGCUGCCGAAUUCUUGAAUGGUUCUUUGCUCAAUUAAACUCUGUUAAAUUUAA
rnacentral:lncRNA from 1 species